rnacentral:rRNA from 1 species
GACGAACGCUGGCGGCGUGCCUAAUACAUGCAAGUAGGACGCAGUUGCGAACGGGUGAGUAACGCGUAGGUAACUACCUAUUAGAGGGGGAUAACUAUUGGAAACGAUAGCUAAUACCGCAUACUAGUAGAUGGACCUGCGUUGUAUUAGGUAGUAGGUAGGGUGAUGGGCUCCCUAGGCAACGAUACAUAGCCGACCUGGGAGGGUGGCCGGCCACACCGGGACUGAGAAACGGCCCAGACCCCUACGGGAGGCAGCAGGAGGGAAUCUUCGGACAUGGGGGGAACCCUGACCGCGCAACGCCGCGGGAGUGAAGAAGGUUUUUGGAUUGUAAAGCUCUGUUGUUAAGGAAGCGUUACUUAACCAGAAAGGGACGGCUAACUACGUGCCAGCAGCCGCGGUAAUAC